rnacentral:tRNA from 1 species
UGCAGUGUCACCUAAUGGCUAAGGUACUCGGCUCAUAACCGAGGAUAUGUGGGUUCAACUCCCACCACUGCGACCA